CUAGGUAAUUGGAUGACCGCCGGUGUACUUAUGUUCACGGGAGGAAAGUCCGAACUCCACCGGACAGGGUGCCGGCUAACAGCCGGGCGAUGUGAAUCGACGGAAAGUGCCACAGAAACGAUACCGCCUAAGUAUUUUCGAAUACCGGUAAGGGUGAAAUGGUGUGGUAAGAGCACACCGGCGUUUUGGUAACAAGACGGCCGAGGUAAACCCCACUCGGAGCAAGACCAAAUAGGGAAGCAUUGGAGUGUUCGGCUCAGCUUUCGGGUAGGUCGCUGGAAAUGAUAGGUAACUAUCAUUGUAGAUGGAUGGUCAUCACUGUAUUUUCUUGGGCAAGGAAUACAGUACAGGAUUCGGCUUAUAGAUUACCUAGCAGC
rnacentral:RNase_P_RNA from 1 species